rnacentral:rRNA from 1 species
ACGAACGCUGGCGGCGUGCCUAACACAUGCAAGUCGAGCGGAGAUAUUAGCAAUAGUAUCUUAGCGGCGGACGGGUGAGUAACGCGUGGGCAACCUGCCUAUAACUGGGGGAUAACACAGGGAAACUUGUGCUAAUACCGCAUAACAUCAUGAAGUGACAUCACUUUAUGAUCAAAGGAGCAAUCCGGUGAUAGAUGGGCCCGCGUCCGAUUAGCUAGUUGGUGAGGUAAUGGCCCACCAAGGCGACGAUCGGUAGCCGAACUGAGAGGUUGAUCGGCCACAUUGGGACUGAGACACGGCCCAGACUCCUACGGGAGGCAGCAGUGGGGAAUAUUGCGCAAUGGGGGAAACCCUGACGCAGCAACGCCGCGUGAAGGAUGAAGGUUUUCGGAUCGUAAACUUCUUUGAUGAGGGACGAAUAAUGACGGUACCUCAAAAACAAGCCACGGCUAACUACGU